UACGUAGGGUGCAAGCGUUGUCCGGAAUUAUUGGGCGUAAAGAGCUCGUAGGCGGUUUGUCGCGUCGGCUGUGAAAACCUGGGGCUUAACUCCGGGCCUGCAGCCGAUACGGGCAGACUAGAGUUCGGCAGGGGAGACUGGAAUUCCUGGUGUAGCGGUGAAAUGCGCAGAUAUCAGGAGGAACACCCGAGUGGCGAAGGCAGGUCUCUG
rnacentral:rRNA from 1 species